AACUUUUGGCAAUGGAUCUCUUGGCUCUCGCAUCGAUGAAGAACGCAGCGAAAUGCGAUACGUGAUGUGAAUUGCAGAAUUCAGUGAAUCAUCGAAUCUUUGAACGCACCUUGCGCCCCUUGGCAUUCCGAGGGGCACACCCGUUUGAGUGUCGUGAAAUUCUCAAACCUUCUUGGUUUCUUGAUCAAGAUGGCUUUGGACUUUGGAGGCAUUUUGCUGGCUUUGCGAAAAGCCAGCUCUUCUUAAAUACAUUAGUGGGCUCGGCUUUGCCGAUCCCCAGGCGUGAUAAGAUACUUCUACGUCUUGGGAUUUGCUCUGUUCCUUGGCACCCCGCUUCCAACCGUCUCAUGGAAGACAUCCUACGCAUUUGCCCGACCCCAGAUCCUUGACCUCAAAACGGGUGCGAGAACCAACUGAUCCUAAGUAUAUCAAUAAGCUGAGGCU
rnacentral:misc_RNA from 1 species